rnacentral:rRNA from 1 species
UACGGGGGGGGCAAGCGUUGUUCGGAAUUACUGGGCGUAAAGCGCGUGUAGGCGGCUCUGCAAGUCGGAUGUGAAAUCCCACGGCUCAACCAUGGAAGUGCAUUCGAAACUGCAGGGCUAGAGUCCUGGAGAGGAAGGUGGAAUGCUUGGUGUAGAGGUGAAAUUCGUAGAUAUCAAGCGGAACACCGGUGGCGAAGGCGGCCUUCUGGACAGUGACUGACGCUGAGACGCGAAAGCGUGGGGAGCAAACAGG